GGCGGUUCUCAGGUGAUCCACCCUGGAAUCGGGCUCCCUCCUCUUUGGUUGUGGGUGUGUCACCCAAGGACUGCC
rfam:Myotis brandtii contig219550, whole genome shotgun sequence.